GAUGAACGCUGGCGGCGUGCCUAAUACAUGCAAGUCGAGCGAACAGACGAGGAGCUUGCUCCUCUGACGUUAGCGGCGGACGGGUGAGUAACACGUGGAUAACCUACCUAUAAGACUGGGAUAACUUCGGGAAACCGGAGCUAAUACCGGAUAAUAUAUUGAACCGCAUGGUUCAAUAGUGAAAGACGGUUUUGCUGUCACUUAUAGAUGGAUCCGCGCCGCAUUAGCUAGUUGGUAAGGUAACGGCUUACCAAGGCAACGAUGCGUAGCCGACCUGAGAGGGUGAUCGGCCACACUGGAACUGAGACACGGUCCAGGCUCCUACGGGAGGCAGCAGUAGGGAAUCUGCCGCAAUGGGCGAAAGCCUGACGGAGCAGCGCGGCGUGAGUGAUGAAGGUGUUCGGAUCGUAAAACUCUGUUAUUAGGGAAGAACAAAUGUGGAAGUAACUGUGCACGUCUUGACGGUAACUAAUCAGAAAGCCACGGCUAACUACGUG
rnacentral:rRNA from 1 species